rnacentral:rRNA from 1 species
AUGGAUGACAUUGUGGUCAAGUCGCGUAAAGGUUCCAACCUGCUGACCGACCUCGCAGAAACCUUUUCCAACCUAAGAAGGUAUGAUAUCAAGCUUAAUCCGUCAAAGUGCACAUUCGGAGUCCCAGGUGGAAAAUUACUCGGUUUCCUCGUUUCCGAACGAGGGAUCGACACAAAUCCAGAAAAAGCCGAUGCCAUCCUCCGAAUGAAACGCCCUAUGCGUGUGCAUGACAUUCAGAAGCUUGCUGGUUGUUUGGCCACCUUGAGUCGAUUCAUUUCUCGUCUCGAUAAAAAGGCCUUACCUCUUUACUGA